rnacentral:rRNA from 1 species
AGUAGCGGCGAGUGAAGCGGCAAAAGCUCAAAUUUGAAAUCUGGCUCUUUCAGAGUCCGAGUUGUAAUUUGAAGAAGGUAUCUUUGGGUCUGGCUCUUGUCUAUGUUUCUUGGAACAGAACGUCACAGAGGGUGAGAAUCCCGUGCGAUGAGAUGAUCCAGGCCUAUGUAAAGUUCCUUCGAAGAGUCGAGUUGUUUGGGAAUGCAGCUCUAAGUGGGUGGUAAAUUCCAUCUAAAGCUAAAUAUUGGCGAGAGACCGAUAGCGAACAAGUACAGUGAUGGAAAGAUGAAAAGAACUUUGAAAAGAGAGUGAAAAAGUACGUGAAAUUGUUGAAAGGGAAGGGCUUGAGAUCAGACUUGGUAUUUUGUAUGUUACUUCUUCGGGGGUGGCCUCUACAGUUUAUCGGGCCAGCAUCAGUUUGGGCGGUAGGAGAAUUGCGUUGGAAUGUGGCACGGCUUCGGUUGUGUGUUAUAGCCUUCGUCGAUACUGCCAGCCUAGACUGAGGACUGCGGUUUAUACCUAGGAUGUUGGCAUAAUGAUCUUAAGUCGCCCGUCUUGAAACACGGACCAAGGAGUCUAACGUCUAUGCGAGUGUUUGGGUGUAAAACCCGUACGCGUAAUGAAAGUGAACGUAGGUGGGGGCCCGUAUGGGUGCACCAUCGACCGAUCCUGAUGUCUUCGGAUGGAUUUGAGUAAGAGCAUAGCUGUUGGGACCCGAAAGAUGGUGAACUAUGCCUGAAUAGGGUGAAGCCAGAGGAAACUCUGGUGGAGGCUCGUAGCGGUUCUGACGUGCAAAUCGAUCGUCG